rnacentral:rRNA from 1 species
UACGGGGGGGGGCAAGCGUUUGUUCGGAAUUACUGGGCGUAAAGGGCUCGUAGGCGGCCAACUAAGUCAGACGUGAAAUCCCUCGGCUUAACCGGGGGAACUGCAUCUGAUACUGGAUGGCUUGAGUUCGGGAGAGGGAUGCGGAAUUCCAGGUGUAGCGGUGAAAUGCGUAGAUAUCUGGAGGAACACCGGUGGCGAAGGCGGCAUCCUGGACCGACACUGACGCUGAGGAGCGAAAGCCAGGGGAGCAAAGCGGG